UGCGGGGUAGUGUACAGUAGCACGGAAGGCUCAUAAUCUUCCAGGCCGGGCGCGACUCCCGGCCCCGCAAC
rnacentral:tRNA from 1 species